UCCCUGGUGGCUCAGACGGUAAAGCGUUUGUCUACAGUGCGGGAGACCUGGGUUCGAUCCCUGGCUCGGGAA
rnacentral:tRNA from 1 species